AGUGAACGCUGGCGGCGUGCUUAACACAUGCAAGUCGAACGAGAACGGAUUAUAGCUUGCUAUAAUUGUCAGCUAAGUGGCGCACGGGUGAGUAAUGUAUAGGUAAUAUGCCUCUUACUAAGGGAUAACAAUUGGAAACGUUUGCUAAUACCCUAUACUCCUUAUUAACAUAAGUUAAUAAGGGAAAGAUUUAUUGGUAAGAGAUUAGCCUGUAUUGUAUCAGUUAGUUGGUGGGGUAAUGGCUUACCAAGACUAUGACACAUAACUGGUUUGAGAGGAUGAUCAAUCACACUGGAACUGAGACACGGUCCAGACUCCUACGGGAGGCAGCAGUGGGGAAUAUUGCACAAUGGACGAAAGUCUGAUGCAGCAACGCCGCGUGGAGGAUGACACAUUUCGGUGCGUAAACUCCUUUUAUAUGAGAAGAUAAUGACGGUAUUAUAUGAAUAAGCACCGGCUAACUCCGUGCCAGCCGCCGCGGUAAUAC
rnacentral:rRNA from 1 species